UAGAUAAGCUGCCAUGCUAAAUAAGUCACAUAGCUUUAACUUAUAAAGUUGGACUUAUGAAAUCUCGCAUCACUCAAGAUUUUGAUGGUGACAGAAUAACCGCAGUCUAGAUUGGUAGAGGACGCAGCAACCCUUUUUCAAGAUUCUUGGGUAGUUGGAGAAUUGUGAAGACUGAAGACUCCUCCAUCUUUGCUAGCUCAGUUACUGUUUUCAUUUACUUACUCCAGUAGGGUCUUAAACUGAAUCUGUUGACUCUUUUUUGAAACCUUUCUGGAAAUUAAAGAGUUGGGAUGUAAAAGAAAUGGUUCAGACGCUAGAAGAAAUCAGGGGUGGUGGAGGCUCCAUAAAAGUUGGAACUAUGGGGACAAUUGGUGCCCUUAUGUCAAGGGAGUUAGAAAAUGUGAAACCUGAACUUCAGGUAAAUGCACCAGCAGAUUGUGAUUUCCUUCCUAUUGGAACUUCUAAGCAAAAGACAUUCAAGUCUAGACCCCAGGUGAAUAAAGCAAGCAGCAGCGUCACACUAACACGGUAAUCCUGAAAACAUCCGAAGACCAAGCACUACACUCGGAAGAGUCAAAUUCCAAUGCUCGACUCAGAUAACAUUUCAAUAGAUGGAACGCCUAUUAGACAGAAAUCUGACAAAAGGUUAUCUUACAUGGCUGAAGUUGUGGACAUAAAUGUGGGAGCCAAGAUAGAGCAUGGGCGAGCCCUAUAACAAUCGCCUAAAGAAGCUCGCGUUUCUCAAAGCUAUCUGAGAGCUUUAUCUAAGCCUGCAAACUCUUAAUAUCAGCCUUCAAAUUCCUGUAAGAAAAUCCAGACUUUGAAGUUGGCUGGCUGCUCUCUGCAACGUCUACCAUGUUGCACAUGCUGGGUAUAAGCUUUCUGCCUGCUCUUCUCUUCUUUUUGGGUGGUGUUGCCAAAGAUCCACGGUUGAUUUUGUUGGAGCUACUUGAAGAUGGCUUUUCUGUCGGUUUACGAGGUUUGUGUAAGCUAUCUUGACACCCUAAUUCUAGCUGGCUGAAAAAUUCGAUUUUCUUGUAGUAUGAGGGAUCCAACAGUGCCUCUUGUGCCUAUUUCAACUGGAGUAGUUUUUGCAGUCAUUUUCUUUGGAAUCUGCAGUGCAUUGCUGGAUUUAGAUACCGCCUUCCUAUGCAAUGUAGAAGAUAAAUUUGAGGGCUCUGGUUGAAGAGAGUUGGUGGUCUGGGACUUGUUUUGGUUAGAGUAUGUGGCAUUUUGGUGAGGCUCAACAUCUUGUGAUCUUCACAUGAAUUCCCUACCUAUAUUCUUUAUCUGAGGUGGAGAUUGCCUUUGUAGAGGGUAUGGGUGGAGAUACAUAUUCAUUGUAUUCAUGUGCAGAUGGUUUAAUACAUUGAAGAAAGUUUGUAACUCCCCCUACAAUCUUCUAACCACUUUUUAAUCUGGAUUCAUGGUGACCCUUUGUGAAAUCACUGUACAUUGUUGAAACAAACAAUUCAUUGCCGGGCCCAACUGGCUGGGUGAAUGUGGUGAUGCAGGAAUGAAAGAGUGAAAAAAUUGAACUUUUCCUGAUUUUGCGAUUGCUAGCUUCCUUUUCACUGCCCCUGGUGGUGCUUUCAACUUGUGACUGCUUCGAGUCCAGCAAGAAAAUCAUGAAAGCAGAGUUAAGGAAUUUAAUGCGGUAAUAGUACCAAAAUUAAUUUAAGAUUCAGAGCAUAUGGUUGUGCCUUCAUUCUCACAGGGGACCAGGAUCAAAAUAAAUUGACGGCACACAUUUCUUACACGUGAGCAUCACAUGACUUUAGUAGUCUUUUGAGCCCCUUUUUUUUUUAGGCCCUUAAUCUUUUUGGGGGUCAAUAAUGCUUCUGAUCUUCUUAGGUUAAUUACAGGAGAUUAAUAAUAAUGACAACAGAUUAUGGAGUCUUUGGGCCUGUGUGUAUUUGGGCCGAUGUGUAGUUUGCAUCCUCAACUUCAAUAAUGGAGAUAUCCAACGUACAGAAGAACGAUGGGAGGGAGCAUUUGAUGUUGAUUUGCUACGUGGAAGCUUAAAUGCUUUGAUCGAAGCACCUCACCCCUUCUUCCGCCCACAGCAAUCUUCACUCCCUGUAGCAGCAGCUUACACGUUCUAGCCAUGCAAGGCCCAAGCUCCGCUAUAAAAUACCCUCCUCCGCCCACUGCUCGCUGCUCCAUCACAGAAGGAGAGAAGCGAGAUGACGGCAAGAACGACGGUGAUUGCAGCAAUGUUGGCUACUGCCCUCUUGGCUGUAGCUGAGUAUCUGGCUUUCGAGCCACCAUAACAGCCAUCAUCGACGAGGAACUGGACAAGACGCCGGAGAGCAACAACAGACUCAGCACAAAUGCAGGCAGCAGAUUAGGCCGCAGCGGCUCCAACAGUGCCGGCAGUUCUUGCAACAACAGAGCCAGGAGAGCCUUACGAGCCCGUGCUCCUGAACCAAGAAGAGAAACAGCAGCAGCCACUCUGGCAGUGCUGCCAGCAGCUGAAGAACGUCGACGAGCAAUGCCGGUGUGAGGCCGUUAAGCAGGUUGUUCAGCAAUUGCAGCAAGGUGAGGCCCUAUGGCCAGCAAGGACCGCAGAAGCAGCAACAACAAGUUCUUCAAAAGGCUAGGCAGCUCCCCGGGAUAUGCAACCUUCAACCAAAGGAAUGCCAAAUUCAGCCACCGAACCAUACCCCUACUACUAAAUCCGAAUCCUAAUCCUAAUUUCAUCCGCAGGAUGAAUAAUAAUAUGCCAUGCGAAUAAGCACAUGAUCCUGUAAAUCCCAAGAGGGAGUUUUGUAAUGUUAAACUUCAAAAGGCUAGACAACUUAUGAUCA